CGUGUAGGCGGAUGGGAACGUCGGAAUCUGAAAGCCCCCGGCUCAACCGGGGAAGUGGAGCCGAAACGACCUGUCUGGAGGGACGUAGGGGGACCUGGAACUUCCGGUGGAGCGGUGAAAUGCGUUGAGAUCGGAAGGAACGCCCGUGGCGAAAGCGAGGUCCUGGACGUCUUCUGACGCUGAGACGCGAAAGCUAGGGGAGCAAACG
rnacentral:rRNA from 1 species